rnacentral:rRNA from 1 species
UAGGGAAUCUUCCGCAAUGGACGCAAGUCUGACGGAGCAACGCCGCGUGAGUGAUGAAUGUCUUCGGAUUGUAAAACUCUGUUGUUAGGGAAGAACAAGUACCGUUCGAAUAGGUCGGUACCUUGACGGUACCUAACCAGAAAGCCCCGGCUAACUACGUGCCAGCAGCCGCGGUAAUACGUAGGGGGCAAGCGUUGUCCGGAAUUAUUGGGCGUAAAGGGCGCGCAGGCGGUCUUCUAAGUCUGAUGUGAAAGCCCACGGCUUAACCGUGGAAGGUCAUUGGAAACUGGGGGACUUGAGUGCAGAAGAGGAGAGUGGAAUUCCAUGUGUAGCGGUGAAAUGCGUAGAGAUAUGGAGGAACACCAGUGGCGAAGGCGACUCUCUGGUCUGCAACUGACGCUGAGGCGCGAAAGCGUGGGUAGCGAACAGGAUUAGAUACCCUGGUAGUCCACGCCGUAAACGAUGAGUGCUAGGUGUCAGGGGGUUUCCGCCCCUUGGUGCUGGAGUUAACGCAUUAAGCACUCCGCCUGGGGAGUACGGCCGCAAGGCUGA